rnacentral:rRNA from 1 species
AUAUUGCACAAUGGGCGAAAGCCUGAUGCAGCGACGCCGCGUGAGGGAUGACGGCCUUCGGGUUGUAAACCUCUUUCAGCAGGGAAGAAGCGAAAGUGACGGUACCUGCAGAAGAAGCGCCGGCUAACUUUUUGUUUGCAGCCGCGGUAAUACGUAGGGCGCGAGCGUUGUCCGGAAUUAUUGGGCGUAAAGCGCUCGUAGGCGGCUUGUCACGUCGGUUGUGAAAGCCCGGGGCUUAACCCCGGGUCUGCAGUCGAUACGGGCAGGCUAGAGUUCGGUAGGGGAGAUCGGAAUUCCUGGUGUAGCGGUGAGAAUGCGCAGAUAUCAGGAGGAACACCGGUGGCGAAGGCGGAUCUCUGGGCCGAUACUGACGCUGAGGAGCGAAAGCGUGGGGAGCGAACAGGAUUAGAUACCCUGGUAGUCCACGCCGUAGAACGGUGGGCACUAGGUGUGGGCGACAUUCCACGUCGUCCGUGCCGCAGCUAACGCAUUAAGUGCCCCGCCUGGGGAGUACGGCCGCAAGGCUAAAACUCAAAGGGAGUUGACGGGGGCCCCGCACAAGCGGCGGAGCAUGUGGCUUUAGUUUCGACGCAGC